UUGGCAUUCCAGUAUUCCUAAUCGUUUUCACUUUAGUCAUCUGCGGCGGUGUCAUGCUUCAUAAGAAAAAAGGUUACAGGCAAGCAGCAACCACAGCAGACGAGUAGGACGCUUUUGGGGAAAGUGUGUAAAUGUUCAUCUGUGUUGAUUGCUAUACUUAUGUACUUUAGCUGACAGAGGUUUUUAAUUGAGCAUCGGAGGCUGUUGGUAAUUAGAGCCCAGUUCCUCAAGACAUGAGAUCCACUAAUACGUCUAAAAUGUCUCAACCAGACUACUAAUCCAUCUUUAGAAUAUUACAGUAUAUUCUAAUUGUAUGACAAAGAUCAUAUUAAAUGCAUGGUGACUAGCAAGAUACAGUACUACUAUUCAUGAAUGAGGAUGAGACUGCCCGGGAGUCUUGGGAGCAUGAACAGUAUGCAGGCCUUCCUGUUCAUUAUUAGUAUUCUUUAUUAUCCCAGCUCCUACAUGUAGAAGGAUGUGGUUAUGACAAACAUUUCUAAUGAGACAGUCAGACAGGUAGAUGCAAUGUGUACUAGAUAUAUUGAACCUUUUUGAGUUGUCAGUCAUAUUUAUUUUCCAGUCAUAUGUAAGCUAAUUUACACCUGCACCAUACAUUACAUAAUGUCGCUAAUACUGUUUUUUUCGUUUUGAAAUUGCACUUUAGUUGUGAGAGAUGAGGUUUGUCAGUGAGGAAAUAUAAUCUAUUAGAACACAGCACCACCUACAGUUGACUUUAUGACAUACCAGGAAGAAGACAGGGGAGAAUAUCCUUCUAUUUAAUUUAACUUGAAUCCAUUUAAAUAUCAUAGCACUUGUGUCAGUGUGAGGUUUAUGCUGUUAUUAUUACAUACUGUACCUAUAGUAAUACAGAUACAUGGAUGUUUUACCUUCUUUGUUAUAUCAAUACAUUGUAUGAAUGUAUUUGAGCACUGAAAAUAUAAUGGUGAUGAUAACAAUGUUUUGCACUUUGAUUGAUUGUUUGAUACACUUAAAUCUAGUGAACAAGGUACGGUAUGUCAAGGUUUAGUUCCUGUUUGUAUUUAUUCUGAUCGUGGAUGUUGCUUGUUGUGUUUGACCCCAUUUGAUUUGACACAGUUUAUAAAUCAGGCUAUUAUUCUCGCUUGAUCUGUUCAAUGUUUUAUAUUGUUUAAGAUUCAAAAGCAUUCUUUAAAUGUAUUGUGUUCCCUCCUGUUUGCUAUAAAACUAUAUGCUGUUCUUAAAAAAUCA